rnacentral:rRNA from 1 species
AUACGGAGGGUCCGAGCGUUAUCCGGAUUUAUUGGGUUUAAAGGGAGCGUAGGCGGACGCUUAAGUCAGUUGUGAAAGUUUGCGGCUCAACCGUAAGAUUGCAGUUGAUACUGGUGUCUUGAGUACAGUAGAGGCAGGCGGGAUUCGUGGUGUAGCGGUGUAAUGCUUAGAUAUAACGAAGAACUCCGAUUGCGAAGGCAGCCUUCGGGACUGUAACUGACGCUGAUGCUCGAUAGUGUGGGUAUCAAACAGGAUUAGAGACCCUGGUAGUCCACACAGUAAACGAUGAAUAAUCGCUGUUUGCGAUAUACAGUAAGCGGCCAAGCGAAAGCGUUAAGUAUGCCACCUGGGGAGUACGCCGGCAACGGUGAAACUCAAAUGAAUUGUCGGGG